rnacentral:rRNA from 4 species
UGCCUUAGUAACGGCGAGUGAAGCGGCAAUAGCUCAAAUUUGAAAGCUGGCCCCUUCGGGGUCCGCGUUGUAAUUUGUAGAGGAUGAUUCGGCGAGGGCUCCCGUCUAAGUCCCUUGGAACAGGGCGUCAUAGAGGGUGAGAAUCCCGUAUGUGAUGGGCUGCCUUAGCCAUGUGAAUCUCCUUCGACGAGUCGAGUUGUUUGGGAAUGCAGCUCUAAAUGGGAGGUAAAUUUCUUCUAAAGCUAAAUACCGGCCAGAGACCGAUAGCGCACAAGUAGAGUGAUCGAAAGAUGAAAAGCACUUUGGAAAGAGAGUUAAAAAGUACGUGAAAUUGUUGAAAGGGAAGCGCUUGCAGCCAGACUUGUCCGCAGUUGCUCAGCUUGUCUCCUGACAGGCGUACUCUUCUGCGGCCAGGCCAGCAUCAGUUCGGGCGGUCGGAUAAAGACCUAGGGAAUGUAGCUCCUCUCGGGGAGUGUUAUAGCCCUGGGUGCAAUGCGGCCAGCCUGGACUGAGGAUCUCGCUUCGGCUAGGAUGCUGGCGUAAUGGCUGUAAGCGGCCCGUCUUGAAACACGGACCAAGGAGUCUAACAUCUAUGCGAGUGUUUGGGUGUCAAACCCAUGCGCGUAAUGAAAGUGAACGGAGGUGGGAACCCUCACGGGUGCACCAUCGACCGAUCCUGAUGUCUUCGGAUGGAUUUGAGUAAGAGCAUAGCUGUUGGGACCCGAAAGAUGGUGAACUAUGCCUGAAUAGGGUGAAGCCAGAGGAAACUCUGGUGGAGGCUCGCAGCGGUUCUGACGUGCAAAUCGAUCGUCAAAUUUGGGUAUAGGGGCGAAAGACUAAUCGAACCAUCUAG